UACGUAGGUGGCAAGCGUUGUCCGGAUUUAUUGGGCGUAAAGCGAGCGCAGGCGGUUCCUUAAGUCUGAUGUGAAAUCCCACGGCUCAACCGUGGAAGGUCAUUGGAAACUGGGGAACUUGAGUGCAGAAGAGGAGAGUGGAAUUCCAUGUGUAGCGGUGAAAUGCGUAGAUAUAUGGAGGAACACCAGUGGCGAAGGCGACUCUCUGGUCUGUAACUGACACUGAGGCUCGAAAGCGUGGGGAGCAAACAGGAUUAGA
rnacentral:rRNA from 1 species